GCUGCCGCUGCUGCAGCUGAUGGGAGACGUGGAGGACCAGAGGGCGGCGGCCAUCUUGGGACCCGUCAUCGUGCACUGCAGCGCCGGGAUUGGACGGACCGGAUGCUUCAUUGCCACGACGAUAGGUUGUCGACAGCUGCAGCUGGAGGGCUUCGUCGACGUGCUGAGUAUCACCUGCCGCCUGCGAGCAGACAGAGGAGGUAUGAUUCAGACAGGUGAGCAGUACGAGUUCGUCCAUCACGCUCUGAGUCUGUACGAGUCCCGCCUCUCCGCAGAAACCGGCCAAUGAGAGCGCAGUGCCACAGCAGGCGUCGGUUUGAACCAGGAAUUGCUCUGACAUAAAGCGAGUCAUUUGUAGAGCUUUACGAUUGACGGACACCUCGGACAGCCAAUCAGGAGUGAUGUGGGCGGAGCCUGUUGAAGGGAAGAUGGAAGGUAAAUUCUGGAAAGGGGAAUCUAUCCGUUCUUCUUCUUCUUCUCUGCCGUUUCUUCUUCGUGUUUUUUGGCGAGCGUUUCUUCAGAGGAGCUCAAAGACUCGCUUCUCUUCGGAUCGUGUUUUUAUUCACUAACCAGUAUGUCCCGUUACCUUUUUUUUCCUGUCACGGAGACGUAGAAAUAAUAGUCUGAAGUCGAUGGUUCAAUAACACUGUUGUGUUUUAUGUGUCUUAUAGGGUUUCAAAUGUUUUUAUAAUCGUGAUGUUCUGAUAUAACAAUGGCUGUUGGUAAAAUGACUGUUAGCUGGUUGCACCUUUGGUUACUCGACCAUCAAUGAACCAACAUCUCCUCGCCGCUUUUGUGACAUCUGCACUUCCUACGUUACUCCAUGAUUCACCUACGAAACGUUUUAAAGUCUAUCCAGCACCAUGAUGUAUCUAUAAAGUCAUUUUCAUGGUUUCACAGGUCUAAAAACUACAAACUCAUCCGAAAUACUACAUUUAUCAAACUUACCCUGAAAUGCUAGCUUGCUAACUAGCAAACACACUAAUCUUGACCCUUGUGCCUUAAUAGGGACAUUUCUGGCUGUUUAAUUUUACAUUUUUAAAAUAAUUUUAUUGAUCAAAAUUGUGAAUUCAGCCCCGAUAAUAAGUGAAUAUCCAAAAUGCAGCCUGCCGAAGCCAAAAAGGACAGAAAAGUCCCCAUUAAAACCAUUUAUUUAUUAUCAAAUUACCUCUUAAUAUCCUGCUCUGUAUUAUCCAUCUACAGCCCCUGCUCCUACAUUUUACUUUUUACUUUUUUUCUUACAUUUCUGCAGUAACGUAUGAAAUGCUGACGUCACAAAUGGAGCCAACGUUAGCCAUAGAUCACUAGCGAAAAGCUAACACACCAAUGUAAAGCUAAUAAGUUAAUGCUAAGCUAGUUCUCGUAAUACAGCAAUCUCCAUAGAGGCUAAUGCUAGUUUUAGUAACUCAGUGUUCGUCUGCAUUAAUGUCAAUAAAUGGAUGCUAAGCUAUAAGCUCAUGCUACUAUUAGCUCGCUAUGCUAAUCAAUAUUGUUUUAAAAACAAUUAUAUCUAGUAUUUAACUGCUAAAUAGUAAUUUGUUAAUUGUUUGUUACAACUAUUUUAUUUGUUUAAGUACAGCUCCCAUAAGGCGUUUACUAAUAUGAUGGGAGUUGUAGUUUUUAAAUAAUAAAACGUGUCUUUUAUUUUAAAUAAUGGACACAAAAUCAAGCUUUUAGAAAAACAAAUGAAUACAUAUAUUAUUAAAAAAAGAUGGAGGCUAGUUAAGCCAAUUACUCAGUCACAAUUUAUUUGAUCAAUCAAUUAAAUAUAAUUAAUGAACUACAUAUUUUUGCUGAGAAAUGUUGUGCUGCUAGUAGUUAGCCUUGUUUCCUGCUUUGACAAUUAUCCUGUUGUGUAAUAUUAUAUUGCUUUAUACCAAAAAUGUGAAAUUAUUUACGUCACGAUGGUGCAGUCAUCUCAUCGAUGUGCUGUUGUAAAAUCUAGUGUUACUUAUGGUGUAUCAAAGUAAUAACAACUUUAUUUUUAUACUGUUUUUACAUGUUUUUGAUGUGUUUUAGCAUUUGUCGACGCAAAUUUGGGGGUACUAAACUCACCACAUCUCUUAAUCAUGAAUUUAACUGUCCCAAACUGCAUAUUUUAGAAUAAAAUGUGAAACAAAAAUGGGGUGGUUUUUGUCAAUUAACAUUGUACAGUACAUGUAAAAGUGCUAUUAAUGUGGGACGUCCUGUUUCCAAUCCACGGAUUACAAACAAACACGGAAAACUUGCUGCUAAAACUGGGACCAUUUGGGAGCGUCAGGACCGCUGACGGACAGUAACCGAGAGAAACUUUAAAGACUCUUCUUUUUCUAUGUAUUUUUGUAUUUAUUCCUUUUUUCUUGUAAUACAAUCAAAAGUGUUUCUGAGUGUGUCUUCACGGGACCAUCAUCAACACAAUUUCCCACUUCAAUUCAGGAUCGAUUUCCAACCCAAAAUGGCUCAAAUUUGGCAAAUACAGUGGUGCAGUGACCCUGAAGGCAGCAUCUCCCCGGUCCAAUGGGAUUUCUAGAUGUGAUUUUGGGAUUAAUGCAGAAAACAAUCUCUGUGGCAAACCACUGCUAAGCUAAAGGCGGCUAAUGUUGGGCUAUAAAGGAACUACAGCACGGUCACAUGACUUCACGU